UCUCGUUAGAUCACCGAAGUUAAGCAUCAUUGGGCGCGGUCAGUACUUGGGUGGGUGACCACCUGCGAACACUGCGUGCCGUU